UACGGAAGGCAGCAGUGGGGAAUAUUGCACAAUGGGCGCAAGCCUGAUGCAGCCAUGCCGCGUGUAUGAAGAAGGCCUUCGGGUUGUAAAGCUCUUUUAGUGAGAAAGAUAAUGACGGUACUCACAGAAGAAGUCCUGGCUAACUCCGUGCCAGCAGCCGCGGUAAUACGGAGAGGGCUAGCGUUAUUCGGGAAUUAUUGGGCGUAAAGAGCGCGUAGGCUGAUUAGUAGUUAAAGUGAAAUCCCAAAGCUUAACUUUGGAAUUGCUUUUUAAAACUGCUAGUCUAGAGAUUGAAAGAGGAUAGAGGAAUUCCUAGUGUAGAGGUGAAAUUCGUAAAUAUUAGGAGGAACACCAGUGGCGAAGGCGUCUAUCUGGGUUCAAAUCUGACGCUGAGGGCGCGAAGGGCGUGGGGAGCGAAACAGGGAUUAGAUACCCGU
rnacentral:rRNA from 1 species